rnacentral:rRNA from 1 species
UACGGAGGAUCCAAGCGUUAUCCGGAAUCAUUGGGUUUAAAGGGUCCGUAGGCGGGAUAAUAAGUCAGCGGUGAAAGUCUGUGGCUCAACCAUAGAAUUGCCAUUGAUACUGUUGUUCUUGAGUGUUUAUGAAGUGGUUAGAAUAUGUAGUGUAGCGGUGAAAUGCUUAGAUAUUACAUGGAAUACCGAUUGCGAAGGCAGAUCACUAAUAAAAUACUGACGCUGAUGGACGAAAGCGUAGGUAGCGAACAGGAUUAGAAACCCCGUGUAGUCC